AUGGUCAAGAUCAAUGUAGAUGCCGCAGUAGUCCGGGUGCGAGGUGCAGCGGGAGCAAUCUGCAGAGACCAAGAUGGAGCUUUCUUGGGAGCUUCGGCAGUGGUUUUCUCCCAUCUUUCAGAUCCCGGCACCUUGGAGAUGCUCGCAAUCAGGGAGGCUCUGGCGUUGGCAGAUGACAUAUAUGUCAGAAGGGUACAUGUUGCUUCUGAUUGCAAAGUGGCCAUCGACGACAUCCAACAGCAAAACAAAGGAAGCUACGGGGCAAUUGUGCAUGAAAUUAUACAACAUAGGUUUGAAUUUGAGGCUUGUAAUAUACUUCAUGAAUUUAGGAGCUCGAAUAUCGAGGCUCACAAACUAGCAAAGCACGCUUUAUCUCUCGGGGUUGGCCGCCAUGUUUGGUUUGGCCAGCCCAACUAUCUUGAUUUCGUCCAUGUGAAUAUUGUGACGACGUAA
rnacentral:rRNA from 1 species